UUCGUAGGCGGUGUGGCAAGUCGGGAGUGAAAUCUCUGGGCUCAACUCAGAGGCUGCUUCCGAAACUGCUGUGCUUGAGUGUGAGAGAGGCUCGUGGAAUUGCAGGUGUAGCGGUGAAAUGCGUAGAUAUCUGCAGGAACACCCGUGGCGAAAGCGGCGAGCUGGAUCACUACUGACGCUGAGGAACGAAAGCUAGGGGAGCAAACAGGAUUAGAUACCCUGGUAGUCCUAGCCCUAAACGAUCAGGACUUGGGGUGCCACCCGUUCGGGUGUCGUCCCGGAGCUAACGCGUUAAGUCCUGCACCUGGGGAGUACGGUCGCAAGACUGAA
rnacentral:rRNA from 1 species